rnacentral:rRNA from 1 species
GACGAACGCUGGCGGCGUGCCUAAUACAUGCAAGUAGAACGCUGAAGAGAGGAGCUUGCUCUUCUUGGAUGAGUUGCGAACGGGUGAGUAACGCGUAGGUAACCUGCCUUGUAGCGGGGGAUAACUAUUGGAAACGAUAGCUAAUACCGCAUAACAAUGGAUGACACAUGUCCUUUAUUUGAAAGGGGCAAUUGCUCCACUACAAGAUGGACCUGCGUUGUAUUAGCUAGUAGGUGAGGUAAUGGCUCACCUAGGCGACAAUACAUAGCCGACCUGAGAGGGUGAUCGGCCACACUGGGACUGAGACACGGCCCAGACUCCUACGGGAGGCAGCAGUAGGGAAUCUUCGGCAAUGGGGGCGACCCUGACCGAGCAACGCCGCGUGAGUGAAGAAGGUUUUCGGAUCGUAAAGCUCUGUUGUAAGUCAAGAACGGGUGUGAGAGUGGAAAGUUCACACUGUGACGGUAGCUUACCAGAAAGGGACGGCUAACUACGUG